UGGGGAAUCUUCCGCAAUGGGCGCAAGCCUGACGGAGCAACGCCGCGUGAGUGAAGAAGGUCUUCGGAUCGUAAAGCUCUGUUGAUGGGGACGAACGUGCCUAAUGCGAAUAGUAUUAGGUAAUGACGGUACCCAUCGAGGAAGCCACGGCUAACUACGUGCCAGCAGCCGCGGUAAUACGUAGGUGGCGAGCGUUGUCCGGAAUCAUUGGGCGUAAAGGGAGCGCAGGCGGGCAUGUAAGUCUUUCUUAAAAGUGCGGGGCUCAACCCCGUGAUGUGAAAGAAACUUUGUGUCUUGAGUACAGGAGAGGAAAGCGGAAUUCCCAGGGUAGCGGUGAAAUGCGUAGAUAUUGGGAGGAACACCAGUGGCGAAGGCGGCUUUCUGGACUGCAACUGACGCUGAGGCUCGAAAGCCAGGGGAGCGAACGGG
rnacentral:rRNA from 1 species